AGUUGUUAAGGGAUUUUGUUAUUUGGGCGAAAAUGCAGCCGAGUUAAAAUUUCAGCUGUUUCAAAUUGUCAAACUCAGUAUGAAAUUUGAGAAAAACAUAAAUUUGUUUCCAGAAAUCGGGGCCUGAGCGUGUAGCUU